rnacentral:rRNA from 1 species
AGAGUUUUUUCCUGGCUCAGGAUGAACGCUGGCGGCGUGCUUAACACAUGCAAGUCGAACGAAGCACUUAAACCUGAUUCUUCGGAUGAAGGUUUUUGUGACUGAGUGGCGGACGGGUGAGUAACGCGUGGGUAACCUGCCUCAUACAGGGGGAUAACAGUUAGAAAUGACUGCUAAUACCGCAUAAGACCACGGAGCCGCAUGGCUCAGUGGGAAAAACUCCGGUGGUAUGAGAUGGACCCGCGUCUGAUUAGGUAGUUGGUGGGGUAACGGCCUACCAAGCCAACGAUCAGUAGCCGACCUGAGAGGGUGACCGGCCACAUUGGGACUGAGACACGGCCCAAACUCCUACGGGAGGCAGCAGUGGGGAAUAUUGCACAAUGGGGGAAACCCUGAUGCAGCGACGCCGCGUGAGCGAAGAAGUAUCUCGGUAUGUAAACUUCUAUCAGCAGGGAAGAAAAUGACGGUACCUGACUAAGAAGCCCCGGCUAACUACGUGCCAGCAGCCGCGGUAAUACGUAGGGGGCAAGCGUUAUCCGGAAUUACUGGGUGUAAAGGGUGCGUAGGUGGUAUGGCAAGUCAGAAGUGAAAACCCAGGGCUUAACUCUGGGACUGCUUUUUGAAACUGUCAGACUAGAGUGCAGGAGAGGUAAGCGGAAUUCCUAGUGUAGCGGUGAAAUGCGUAGAUAUUAGGAGGAACAUCAGUGGCGAAGGCGGCUUACUGGACUGAAACUGACACUGAGGCACGAAAGCGUGGGGAGCAAACAGGAUUAGAUACCCUGGUAGUCCACGCCGUAAACGAU